rnacentral:rRNA from 1 species
UCGGUGGUAAACUCCACCUAAGACUGAAUACGGCCACGAGACCGAUAGCGAACAAGUACCGUGAGGGAAAGUUGAAAAGCACUUUGAAGAGAGAGUUCAAGAGUACGUGAAACCGUUUGGGAGUAAACGGGUGGUACCCGAAAUUUCGAAAGGGGAGAUUCAGGUCUCGCCGGCGACGGUCGAGGGUCGCUCGUCGGAUGGCGCGCCGGCGGGCGGGGGGUGACCCCCGUCACAGGCGCGUCACCCGGUGGCCCUCGAAUGUUCGUCCUCGGUGUGACGCACUUCUCCCCGAGUAGGACGUCGCGACCCGUCGGACGCCGGCCCCAAGGGCCCGGGUGGAGUCCCGCCCGCUCUCGAGCGGAAAAGGACCCCGGGAUCCCAGGCCGGAUGUCCGACGGUAGGAAGCGAAAGUCGACGCGCCGCAAGGCGUCCGGCCCUCCGCGAGCACCCUCGGGGGUUAGGGUUCCGGACCCGGUCCG